GCGGGGAUAACCGUUUCCCGGACUCACCUUAAAGGCUUAGGACCUCGUCCCGCAGGGGUUCCCAGGUUCGAAUCCUGGCCCCCGCA
rnacentral:tRNA from 1 species